rnacentral:lncRNA from 1 species
CCUGGGUGGUGGUGUGUUUCAAAUCAUCAAAUUAAGAGAAGAACGAAGAAGCAUAGCACGAAAUGAUGCGUGUUUUGUGGGAAAAAAAGUGUGUGAGGAAGAAACAGUACAAGUGUGUAACAAGACCAGGGGUAGGGUUCUAAGUUGUAGGUUUUGUACCUUCGUUUUUCUUUAGAAGUGUCCUAUGCUGUUUUCACACAAAUCUUACGUUUUAGUUCCGUUGUGUCCUUUUAUCAUUUGAGCACUGAAUCUGUCCCUUUACUCAUUAUUUUCUAAUCCGUCACUCGUGUGUUAGGUUAACUGAAGCUAUUGACAGAAUAAUGUUUAUUUUUUUUUAACUAGUUUCACAUAUUUUAAUUGGUUUGUUAUAAGCUUUCAGAUAUGCUUGAGGACAUCAAAUCCUUGUCGGUUACUAAUAUGUGAACUUAUGCGUAUAUUAUUGUCACUCAUAAGAAUCAAACUUUUUAUUUCGGUACGAAUCUAGCAAAUCUUAUCAACGCCUUGUUGGCGUGAAUUUAUGCAUAUGUGAAUAUUUUAUUAAUUUCCACCAUAAGAAAUGGAAGUUUACUAACUAAAACUACAUCGUUUACUAACAAGACGUUGGUCUAUAUGUAAGGCCUCACUAAAUCUUCAAGGUUGAGAAUUCAAUUCCUAAGAGCGACAUUUGUUGGAAUGAGUAACCAUGAACCCCGAAAAAAAUUAAUUCAUUACCAAAAAAGGUGAGGAGAUAUAAUUGAUAAUACCAAAAAAUAAAACUACAUCUUUUUUUAUUAAUAUUUUUUUAAAGAGGACAAAAUCAUAUCAUUUAACACUUUUUUUUAUAUUGGAAAUUAAAGAAACAAGAAAAGAAAAACUAAAGUAGAUGAGAAAGAUCCAUCUGCAGAAUGGUGAGAGCUCAUAGGGUGGAGAGUCCCAAUUUCUCAAAUCUUUCUGAACUCCCAAACUCAAUUUAGACAUGUAAUUUGUCAACAUAUUUCUUUCUUUAUAGAUAUCUUGAAGCUCAACAUUUCAAAUUUACCUAAGCAACCCACAGAUGUUUUGGAGCAUACUAGCAACAGAAUCCACGCGAAUCUACACUUUGUCGGUUAUCAUAUGAAUAGAAUCAAGACAUUCACUCUCCAAAAUAACUUGACGAUGACAAGUUCCAGGAUAACUGAAACUCAUGUUCAAUGGCCAGGAGUUCAGCUUGGAUAGAGGAACCAGUUCCAAAAUUACCAUUGAAUAACUCCACCUCCUCUGACUUGAUGAUCAUGCAAACUACAACUACUAUCUACAUUAAGUUUAACCCUGCCAGUUUCCGGAGAACACCAAUGAACUCUCGACAAAGAUUCUUCAAUCAACAUAGAAUCCAUAGUACACCAAUCUCAAUAGUCAUGAUGGAUGUUCCGAGAGACGUAAGAAAUAUCUCAAGUCACAUUUCUAAAUAUAGUAUGAUUUCGUCACCUCUAAGCCCACCAAACACCCACUAAGAAAAGACACCUAAUGAGGAGUCUAGACUAAAUUUCCAUCCAAUACAUGAAAUAGGGGAAAGAAACGUUUCAACCGCAGUUGUCUCAACCUCAUUUCACCCUUUCUAUUGUACAUCACCAACACUAAGCCAUGUUGUGUUCAAUUUUAGUAUGCUCCAAGUUAAAAUCAAGCCCAUAAGUCUCAUGUUUCAUUUUGGUCGAUUACAAGCCCUAACCCCAAAUUUCAGAAGUUGAGUUUGCUAUAAAUGUUGAAGAUAUUGAAUAAUCAAAGCCCAAGAUAAAAAUUCAAUUGAUCCUCUUCCUUCUAUUUUCUAUCAGUUUAGAAACUUUCUAUUUUUAGCAUUAUUUCAAAAUUCUCGUAUGGUCGUUAUAGGUUAGUUUUCUAUUUUUGUUAAGUUUCAGUUUUUACUUAUUUUUUCCGUUCUUCAAUCAUCUUCCUUUGUAUCUAUAUAAUAGUCAUUUUUGGCUCUUUUGUACUCACUUGAAGAUUCAAUAACAUCAAGAGGUUAUACAAGAAGUUUUAUCAUUCGGUUCCAAUUUUGUUUGAUACAUUUCAAUAAAUUCAUUGCCAAAAAGGAUUGAUCCAUUGCAUCUCCUUUCACUGCCAUUUUUUCUCCAUUCUUCAAGUCAUGGAACUGCAUUUUUCACACGGUAAUGGCUUUAAAGAGAAAGUGCAUGUUCUUAGGAUUCAAACAGGGAAAUAAAGGCUUUAUCUUGUUAGACUUAAGGACCAAUGAAGAUUUUAUAUCAAGGAAUAUGACAUUCUUUAAACAUAUAUUUUUCCAUUCCUCAACCAAACCACCUAUGGUAGUGAGUAUAACCAAGACUAUAUGCCUAUCCUUCCUGUCACACAAAAAGAUAUAUUCUCCUACUCUAUAUUAGAAUCCUGUGCACCAACCAAUAUCAAUUUAUCAUCAAAUCAUGAUCAAGAGAACGCUUCCCAAGUCACCAACCAACAAGACUCACCUAACCUUACUCACCCUACGUAUAUCCCAAAGAAUAAGAAAACCACCUACCUAUCUGGCAAAUUAUCAUUGCACACUCAAUCACAAUACUGACUCGCCUGAAUCUCACAUCAAAUAUCCCAUAAGUGGUCAAUGACAUCUAAAUUCAUAAUGAUAGUCAAUAGAUGUCUAAGCAAUGUAAGCACUUAACAAUUGAACCAUGGUAGUACCCUAAAGAUUCAUUUGUGAGUUAGGUUUUGGAGGGGAAAGGGAAGACUAUAGGGCCAUGAUAUACACUUGCAUUGUCUUCUCUUUCCCUUCAUUCUCCACCAAAACUGAACUCGAAAGCACCAAUUCACAUAGUAAUUAGGAACGAAGUUUUCCUUACAAAGACACAAACUCUCCACAUGAGCCAGAAACGUAACUAUUAAUUAAUAAAAUUAUAUAUAUAUAUAUAUAUAUAUAUAUAUAUAUAUUUAUGUUUUCUUAUCCUCAAGCUUCUUAAUCAUCAGAGGUAAAGGAGAAACGGUUCAAUCAGCAAUAAUCAAUCAAAAGUAAACUAAUACAAAGGAAAAUAGCAUAUGGGUAUGUCAAAUUUCAAUAAUAUUUAAAAAAAUAGUAGAAAUUUUACAAACAAUAACCUUAAAAUAAAAAAUAUAUAUUUUGAUGGAAAUAAUAACCUUUAAAUGACAGAAAAAACAAAAAUUUAGAUCAGAAUGAUGAUGUAAAGAAGAAAAAGAAGCUUGCCUGGGUGGUGGUGUGUUUCAAAUCAUCAAAUUAAGAGAAGAACGAAGAAGCAUAGCACGAAAUGAUGCGUGUUUUGUGGGAAAAAAAGUGUGUGAGGAAGAAACAGUACAAGUGUGUAACAAGACCAGGGGUAGGGUUCUAAGUUGUAGGUUUUGUACCUUCGUUUUUCUUUAGAAGUGUCCUAUGCUGUUUUCACACAAAUCUUACGUUUUAGUUCCGUUGUGUCCUUUUAUCAUUUGAGCACUGAAUCUGUCCCUUUACUCAUUAUUUUCUAAUCC